UUGUAUAUUAGUCGUACUAGAUAAACCUGCUGUUGCUGUGAAUAUUCUGUUUUUUUGUUGUACACAUUAUUUGAGUACAUGUGAGCUCAAGUUAAUUGUUAUUGUGACCACAAUAAUAUACUGUACUGCUUCUAAAUUGAACAUUCAUACUGUAUAUCUAAAUAUGAUGAAUGUUGUCCUAAUUGAAUUCUACAACACUAAAAUGCUUUAGUUUCUUUUUGAGUUUGUCCAAAUACAUCUAAGUUCAUGUUAUAUCAAUAGUGUUUUAAUUGGUGGCAAUGCAAGACAACUUUAUCUCUAUUUUCAUCCUUUUUCACAGUGGACAAGUUAAAAUCCAUGACUUCUCCAGGGUUCUGAGGUUGAAGGCUUGCAACCUUUCUAAAACGUGGAUUGGAAUUGGGCCCUCACAAAAUGAUGGUGGGAACUGCUAUUAGUGGGGAUCGCAUGAUGGAUUACAUAAACCUAGAUGACAGAUCAAUUGGUAUGUUCUGGGUUGUGUCUUACACCAUGGCACAACCUGCUUGUGAAACAGUGAUGAAUUGGUUGACCUCUACUGGAGUUCAAGAGUUGUUACCUGGAUCAAACUUAUAGUCAACUAAGAGGCUAAUGGUGAUGCGGGAAGUUAGCCCAUUGCCAAUUUCGUUGUUAUCAGGCUUUUCAAUCAACUUGUGUCUGAAACUAGCUUAUCAAAUAGAAGAAUCUAUGUUUUUAGGACAAGUGCUAGAUAUCUUCUAGUUUAUUAUCUUGCUUGUGGUUGACUUAGUAUCUGGUGAUAAGAACUUAUAUUAUAUUUAUUUCUAUAUAAAUCUGUAGAUUGUGUAUGUGGAUAAACAAAGUGUUUAUGUUUUGCAAAUUCACAUGCAUCCCAGACAAAAUUGUUCCUAUGGCAAUGUUUAACUGAGUUAGGAAAUAGCUUCUCUAAAACACCAAAGGAAAGGUAGCCCAAACGCCGAUGCCACUGGUGUAAUUGACGUAAUGUUGAACUAGUUUCUGAACAAAAUAGAGUCACUGAACGUAAGAAUCAUUAUCUUCUUGAGUUAGCUCGAUUUUUCUUGUUUACCCUGAAUAUCCCUAAAUCCUUUUGGAGUGAGACAUUUCUUACUUUUUCCUAUCUUAUUAAUCAUAUGCAUCUAGUACUGGUUAGGUAAAUGUCAGUCCAAGAAUUGACAAACAAAAAGCUCUUUAUAAUAUCUUCCUAGCAUAAGUAUUUUUGUUAAAUGUUUUAUCAAGCUCCCUCGAUGGCACAUAUAAGGUUACUUAAUUAUGUUAAAUGUUUCAUAAUAAUAUCUUCCUAGCAAGAGUAUUUUUGUUUCUCGAAAUGACUUAUUUUCGUAUUGUAGGUAUGGGACCUUGUUACUGGAAGACUUUUACAAACUCGAGCUUUUCCACUACCAAUUACUGCAAUAGUUGUUGAUCCAACAGACAAGAAGUUAUUUU